UUGACCUCGGAUCAGGUAGGAAUACCCGCUGAACUUAAGCAUAUCAAUAAGCGGAGGAAAAGAAACCAACAGGGAUUGCCCUAGUAACGGCGAGUGAAGCGGCAACAGCUCAAAUUUGAAAUCUGGCUCUCGGGCCCGAGUUGUAAUUUGUAGAGGAUGCUUUUGAUGCGGUGCCUUCCGAGUUCCCUGGAACGGGACGCCAUAGAGGGUGAGAGCCCCGUCUGGUUGGAUGCCAAAUCUCUGUAAAGCUCCUUCGACGAGUCGAGUAGUUUGGGAAUGCUGCUCUAAAUGGGAGGUAUAUGUCUUCUAAAGCUAAAUACCGGCCAGAGACCGAUAGCGCACAAGUAGAGUGAUCGAAAGAUGAAAAGCACUUUGAAAAGAGAGUUAAAAAGUACGUGAAAUUGUUGAAAGGGAAGCGUUUAUGACCAGACUUGGGCUUGGUUAAUCAUCUGGGGUUCUCCCCAGUGCACUUUUCCAGUCCAGGCCAGCAUCAGUUUUCGCCGGGGGAUAAAGGCUUCGGGAAUGUGGCUCUCUCCGGGGAGUGUUAUAGCCCGUUGCGUAAUACCCUGGCGGGGACUGAGGUUCGCGCAUCUGCAAGGAUGCUGGCGUAAUG
rnacentral:rRNA from 1 species